rnacentral:lncRNA from 1 species
UACUAGUGACUAUUGCUCGUCGAUGCAAUUGAUAUGAAAUGAUAUAGUGUAAAAAAGAUGCAUAUAUGUGUAUGUAACUCGUGUCUACAUUUUAUAAAUAUGUUCGACAAAGCACGGCGGAUGAGAUGGUGUAAUAUAUUCGUGACCAUGAUGUGCAAUAUAGUUGUUCCUUUAUUGUUGUGUAUGUACCAUCCAAUUUAGUGCAAAACAAAAAUUAAAAAAUGCCCAAAACAAAUAAAUGGGAAAAUAGGGGGCAGCAAAAUAGCCCCAUCCAAUUUAGUGCAAAAU